UACGGAGGGGGCAAGCGUUGUCCGGAAUCACUGGGCGUAAAGCGCGUGUAGGUGGUCUGGUGCGUCGGCGCUGAAACCUACGGGCUCAACCCGUAGACGCGUGCCGAUACGACCAGACUCGAGGCAGUGAGAGGGUAUCGAUAUUCCGGGUGUAGUGGUGAAAUGCGUAGAUAACCUGAGGAACGCCUGACGCGCAAGCGGCUACCUGGUGCUGACCUGACACUGAGAAGUGUCAGUGUGGGGAGCGAACCGG
rnacentral:rRNA from 1 species